AAGAACUUCGCGACACAAUUCAUAAAAUAUAUUCGUUUUUAACGAAUCAUUCAGUAAAAAUCUUUGAAUUGUGGAGGUUAUUAUGUAGAUUUACCGUCGCUCAAGAAAAACAAGAAAAUUUCGUAUCAUUUAUACAAAAAAGUUACCUAGAGGUGAAAAAACAACCGUCGAUAAAGCAAUUUUUCACCCCAAUCAUGUUCAAAAAUAGUAAAAGUGAGGUUAAGGAGAAAGUUGGUGAAGCUUCCAUGAAAAUCCCCGAUGCCCAAUCGACAGAGCCCUCUGUUGAUGAAAAGAUGGAGGUUGAUGUUGACACCGUCAAAAUUGAUUUUGGAUGUGAUAAUGAUGACGAAAUCGAUAAUGAUAUUGUUGAUGCUGCAUCUGUUGAAAAUAAAGAACCAAAAAAAUCAAAAAUAAAAUGAUAAAUUAAUAAAGUAUGUGAUUAUUA